UUUUUUUUCAUUUUUGAAAUUUCUUUUUUAUUGACCUACAUGUACAAAAACUCUUCUUUAAAUUUAUUUAUUGAAAUAUGGGAUGCAUAGGAAACUAUAAACUUUAUCAUCAACUCAUGAUGUCAGCAACUUCUUCAUCUUCAGGUUCUUCUUCUAAUUCACAUAACUGAAAGUCUUUAUUUGAGUUCAUUUGCCUUCUUUCCCGAAUAUCCGCAAAUUGAAGAGGGUCCGGUAAACGUUCAGGAAGUUCAUAUUCUUUUUUUGAACCAGCGAAAAAUGAAGGUUCAUUUACUUGCAUCGAGACUGAGAGUAGAAUAUCUGGAUUAAAUAUAGCUUUUCUCUCCUUUUGUUCAGCAACUGGUUCCGACUCCGGUUUCCUUGUAGGUGUAGGCGUACUGCGCUUUCGUCGAUUUUCUUGACGCUUCAAAACUUCUUCUUGAACUUUUUCAGAAAACCCCAUUGCACGAUGUAAUUGCCCAGACACUAUCUUUGCAUUUAAAUCUCUGAUAUUUACAAAAAACAUCGACGAAGAUCGAUUCAAACUAGUUUUGUUGUUAUUGCUGCUGUUUUUGUUUUUAUUUUCGUUUUCAUCAUCGUUUUCUAUUUUUUGAAUUUCCUUUUUCGGCUGUUGAUAGUCUUUUAUUGCGAGUCUUUUUUUCAAAAGUCUUGGCUUGGCAAUUUCGCCUUUCGCAAUUUUAUCUUGAAUAUCACUUUCACUUAAAUCUGGUAAAUAUCUUCGUAAUACUGCAGCUGUGGUCAUGUUCUCGUGUGAUAUCCGUAAGGUUGGGAAACAUUGAUCACACUUGUAUAAUCCCAUUUGUCUCGAUUGGUCUUGUUUACACUGACUACACACUUGAGGUCCUAUGAUUUCACAAAUUUCCCUUCCCACAGGGAGAGAUGCCAAAUAGUUAAUAGGAUAUACUGAAUCUGUAUCGUCGUCGAUGUCAUUCGCAUCAAUACGAGAAUUGGCACGAGACGGGAGUGGUUCACUUCGGAUGCUCUUUGGUGUCAUUGCAUCUCUUCGCACAUCAUGCAUAUAUCGACUAGCGCUUGUGUGCGGACGACUUGGAGCGUAUUCCUCGAACUUAUGAGUUUUAUUU
rnacentral:lncRNA from 1 species